rnacentral:lncRNA from 1 species
UAGAUUCAGAUAAAAUGGCGAGUCUGAAAAGGAUGGGGGAAUGACUCUCUAUGAAAACUGUCUUCUGGUUUCAAAACUGUAAAGAAAACUUACCAGUGAAUAUCCUCAGGUGUGUGUGCUUGGGAGAUGCACAGGAGUUGUGAAUGGAGAAAAGCCAGCCCUUUACCCCACCUCCACUGAGUUCAUUUUAUCCAAAAAGUUAAAAGCCUGAGGGAAGACUUUGACAAAUGGUCCUUUCACCAGGCCCUCCUGUCAGUCUCUCUGGCAAAUUAGCAUAUGCCUUGUGCUCAGUACUAAAACGACCCAAGCCUUUCCCCUGCUUACUUUUUGUUAGUUUGGCUUUUGGUUUUGGGUUUGGUUUUGUAACUUUAGGCAUUUUUACCUGGGUUAUAGGACCACAGGAAAGGAGGUAUUUUGAUUGGGGUUAGUAGAAAAUUAUGAAAGAAAGAUUGAUUUAUGACAUAGAACUGGGAUAAAAGAUUUUAAAUCAGAAUUGUCCUGGAAACGCAGGCAAAUGCCAUCGCUGUUUGCAGUUCAUCUCUGCCACAGGAACUUCUGUCUGAGCAAAGCCUGUGACUAUUCAUUAGUUCUGCGAGCUUCAUGUGAAAUGGAUGAAUGACCAGAGUUUUCAUUCCUCUUUUUUUUUAAAGACAAGUGUGAGAAACAGCAAGGUUUUAAUUAUUUGCUCAAGGACAAGCCUGGUCUUCUAAUUCUGGUUCUUGUUCCCUGCCUAAGCAGUUUCAUAGCCUGUAAUAUUUAAAUUACUGCUUAAAUGUUUUAUUUAAUGAUGAAUGGCUUCGCCAUCGCAGAUGGAAAAUAGCUUUGGCUGUCUUCUUGCUUGAAUAACUGGUGUCGUGGAGAGCACAGGCUUGCUCUCUGAGGAUCCUAAAUGAGAGCUAUGUUUUAAGCACUUUCUGAGGCAAAUCAGCUGUCUUUGAAAGGAAGAAAGAGCACACAAUCUCAGCUUCCAAUCUUUAGCAUUCAGCACAUUGCUCUAAAGAAAACCGGAUCUGAUUUACAAAUAAUCUUGUGCUGUUGUGAUGUAUCUGUGGAAACUCCCCAAACU